rnacentral:lncRNA from 1 species
UGAAAUCUUGAGAGUGCAUGAACAGGCUAUUCUAAUAGAUGUGCAAUUUGCACUAAAACUGAUUGAAGAGCAAAUUCUGAUUCCAAGGUACUUUGUAUUCUCAAAUUGCCUCUGCUGCCCCUGGCCCCCUCAAAAUGGAAGAGUGAGGACUACUUGACAUCUUAGCACUGUGCGGACAUAGAGCCUUACAUGGAGGUGUGUCAAAAACGGCAUUCCAUAAAGGGCUGUCACUUCCAAUUUUCAAGCAAGGACCUGUCAGAAUCCCACCCUUCCUUCUGUCUCCCAUCGAAGUCCUCCAGGAAAUGCAGCUGUUUCAGUGACAGGGGGUGAUUGCCAUCUUCCAACUGAGGAGGAAUUUGGGGUUUUGGUCCAGUCCAUGAAGUGUGACACAGUCAGAAUAAAAGGUGAGGGCCUAACAGAUUAGCAGACGGUAGGAGAAGACUAUCUUGCAGCCAGCUUCAGAGAGCCUGUGGCCAUGGCUCCCAGGUCAACAUUAGG